GGCUGCGCCAUCAACCGGGCGCUCCGGCCCCGGGGGAGGGCGGUGGGGCCCGGAGGACCGAGCCGCCCCGAGCCGCCCCGACGCACCCCGACGCGCCCCGAGGCACCCCCAGGCGGCCGGGGAGGCCGGCGGAGCGGAGGACACGUCGCCGGGAACCGGUUGGACGAGCAGGGAGGUCGCCGGGGCCCAGAAGAGGCGGUCCGAGCCCUUGGGCUCCGGUUGGGGCCGAGGCGUUUGGGCGGGGAGGGCCCGUGGCGCCAACGACUCUCCGUCUGCGACUUUCUUUGGUAGCUUUCUGAGAAAUCUGAAAUCUUGCUCCUGAAACCGGACAUUUUGGAAAGAUGAUUAGAAAGGAGAAAGAAGUUAAUCGCUGCAACUACUUCGAUGCCUAUUUUUUUCCCCAAUAAAAUACUGUCUUGUCUUUA